UUAUAAAACAAUAACUCGUAUAUGCUCGGUAAUAUGGUCGGAGUGUUUCUACCAGGUUCCCAUUGAAAGAACUGGACUACGAGGUGAAAUUUAUG
rnacentral:ncRNA from 1 species